rnacentral:tRNA from 1 species
GGGUCGUUAGCUCAGCUGGUAGAGCAGCGGACUUUUAAUCCGUUGGUCGCAGGUUCGAAUCCCUGCACGGCCUACCA